UACGAAGGGGGCUAGCGUUGCUCGGAAUUACUGGGCGUAAAGAGCGUGUAGGCGGCCCGGUAAGUCCGCUGUGAAAGUCGGGGGCUCAACCCUCGAAUGCCGGUGGAUACUGUCGGGCUAGAGUGCGGAAGAGGCGAGUGGAAUUCCUGGUGUAGCGGUGAAAUGCGCAGAUAUCAGGAGGAACACCGGUGGCGAAGGCGGGUCUCUGGGCCGAUACUGACGCUGAGGAGCGAAAGCGUGGGGAGCGAACAGG
rnacentral:rRNA from 1 species